rnacentral:sRNA from 1 species
CUGUCCUCAGCCUUCCCCGUGGGAUCGGCUGGUUCUCCACGAGUUCCGAGCAGAAGAGGGGCCGGCGUUUAAGUCAAAGGCCUUGGGGCUCCGAGUCCGUUCGUCUCCCGUCCUGUGAAGGCGCGACCCAGUUCACAUGUCUGUAAAGUGAAGCCAUUAGUCCCUGCUUCGUGGUGAGAAAACUGGAAGGCGGAACGAGGAGGCCGCCGGUCCCAACCCGGCCCAGGAGCAUCUUUCUUCGCAGACCGUUUCCUGGCGAGAGGAGAAGCGCAUCUACCGGGUGCCUGUGUUCACAGCACCCUUCUGCCAGGCCUUGCUGGAAGAGCUGGAGCACUUCGAGCAGUCGGACAUGCCUAAGGGGAGGCCCAACACCAUGAACAACUAUGGGGUGCUGCUGCACGAGCUUGGGCUGGACGAGCCGCUGAUGACACCACUGCGGGAGCGCUUCCUGCAGCCACUGAUGGCCCUGCUGUACCCUGACUGUGGCGGGGGCCGGCUCGACAG